rnacentral:rRNA from 1 species
GCAGACCACUCCUACGGGAGGCAGCAGUGGGGAAUAUUGCACAAUGGGCGCAAGCCUGAUGCAGCCAUGCCGCGUGUAUGAAGAAGGCCUUCGGGUUGUAAAGUACUUUCAGCAGUGAGGAAGGUGGGUAUGUUAAUAGCAUACUCAUUUGACGUUAGCUGCAGAAGAAGCACCGGCUAACUCCGUGCCAGCAGCCGCGGUAAUACGGAGGGUGCGAGCGUUAAUCGGAAUUACUGGGCGUAAAGCGCAUGCAGGUGGUUUGUUAAGUCAGAUGUGAAAGCCCGGGGCUCAACCUCGGAAUUGCAUUUGAAACUGGCAAACUAGAGUACUGUAGAGGGGGUAGAAUUUCAGGUGUAGCGGUGAAAUGCGUAGAGAUCUGAAGGAAUACCGGUGGCGAAGGCGGCCCCCUGGACAGAUACUGACACUCAGAUGCGAAAGCGUGGGGAGCAAACAGGAUUAGAUAACCUGGUAG